AACUAAACGUUGUUACUAAUUGUUAUUGAGCAGACAUACAUACGUAUGGUCUCUUGGCUCUGUUGGACUAUGAAAAAGAUUAGUUUGCACAGAAUGAAACCCAAUGAUUGAGGAAUCAUAGACAAUCCAUUAUUAUUCUAAAUUGAUUCCUAUCUUUAUGUCCCUAUGUAUAUAUGUAUGGAUGUAGUAAUCGGUUGGCUCGACAAGAUUAAACGAGCUGGAUAUAAUUUUUCUUCCGAUCUUAUUUUCUGCAUUUGGGUUGAUGUGAAUUGAUAAGGUGUGAACUAUUUUCGUAACCUCCAUUUCACCAACGUUGGUAUAGUAUUCUAGUGCAUCUUAAGUUUUCCUAUGAUGUUAAACAUAAGAUAGAUGUAAUUUACAUAUAUUUAAAUUUCCUUUGUC